rnacentral:lncRNA from 1 species
CAUGGUCGCGCUCUCCGGCGCCCACACCAUCGGCGAAACGCGGUGCGGCGUCUACCGCUCACGCAUCUACAACGACAACAACGUCGACCCCAACUUCGCUGCCAUCCGCAAGAACAACUGCCCGCCUUUCGGCGACGACAACAAGUGGACGCCGCUCGACCUGCAGACGCCGACGCGCUUCGACAACAAGUACUACAGGAACCUCCUGGGUGGGCGCGGGAUUCUGCACUCGGACCAGGCGCUCUACAGUGGCGGACCGGCUGAUAGUCUGGUGAAGUUAUACAGCGCCAACAAUUCCGCCUUCUUCGCCGACUUUGCGCUGGCAAUGACGAAGAUGGGGAACAUUAGCC